AUAGUUUGGAGUGAGAAGAGAAUGACAAAGAAGCGAGAAGUAGAAGAUGGCGUGGUGCCUGCGGAGUCGACUGCAAAACGGCAGAAGGUAAUGGAUCAGUCGUCUCCCUCUCUUCCACCAGUUGCUUUUGAGAAUCCACUUCUUCCACUUGCAUCUUAUGAUGAUGAUGAAGACGACGAGGAUGAUGGUACGAAAGGACACAUUCCUGAGCAAGUUAUAAAUAAUGGUGGAGACAAGGAGCAAAAUGGCUACUCAUCUGACGAUAAAGAAGAUGAGGAUGAUGGUAGAAGCCAAGGGAAGCGAAAUCGUGCAAUUGAGAUUAGGAGGGACUGCCCCUAUCUUGAUACUGUGAACAGACAGGUAUUGGAUUUUGACUUCGAGAAAUUUUGUUCGGUCUCUCUUACAAAUUUAAAUGUGUAUGCAUGUUUAGUCUGUGGGAAAUAUUUUCAAGGAAGGGGACCAAAAUCUCAUGCGUAUACACACAGUCUUGAAGCAGGACACCACGUGUUCAUCAAUUUACGAACAGAGAAAGUUUAUUGUCUUCCUGAUGGAUAUGAAGUCAUAGAUCCAUCGCUUGAUGACAUUAUUCAUGUGCUGAAUCCAAGAUUUGCUCAAGAACA
rnacentral:misc_RNA from 1 species